rnacentral:rRNA from 1 species
UUGCCUACGGGGGGCAGCAGUGGGGAAUAUUGCACAAUGGGGGAAACCCUGAUGCAGCAACGCCGCGUGAGUGAAGAAGUAUUUCGGUAUGUAAAGCUCUAUCAGCAGGGAAGAAGAUGACGGUACCUGAGUAAGAAGCCCCGGCUAACUACGUGCCAGCAGCCGCGGUAAUACGUAGGGGGCAAGCGUUAUCCGGAAUUAUUGGGUGUAAAGGGUGCGUAGACGGGAAAACAAGUUAGUUGUGAAAUCCCUCGGCUUAACUGAGGAACUGCAACUAAAACUAUUUUUCUUGAGUGCAGGAGAGG